rnacentral:rRNA from 1 species
CCCUUAGAUGUUCUGGGCCGCACGCGCGCUACACUGAUGCCUUCAACGAGUUUCUUCCUGGUCCGAGAGGAAUGGGUAACCUUUUGAAAGUGCAUCGUGAUAGGGAUAGACUAUUGCAAUUAUUGGUCUUCAACGAGGAAUUCCUAGUAGACGUAGUUCAUCAGACUGCAUCGAUUACGUCCCUGCCCUUUGUACACACCGCCCGUCGCUCCUACCGAUUGAAUGCUCAGGUGAGCCAUUCGGACUUUCAUCAUGCUGGUUUCCAGUUUUGAUGAAGGAAAGUCUUGCGAACCUUAUCAUUUAGAGGAAGGAGAAGUCGUAACA